GCACUUACAACAACCCCGUCAAUUCUGUGUUUUUGAUGCGGGUAACGCAGGUGCAACAGUGACUCAAUGUAAAUCCAGAUGGACCUCCUCUUCCCGUGGAGCCUGUCUCUACAACUUUGAAACACAA